rnacentral:lncRNA from 1 species
CCGCGCCCCCCGCGCCCCCGGGCGCAUUUCCACGCCGAGAGCGCGUCGGCAGCCCCGGCGACCUGCACACGCACGGCGGGACCCACCUUCCAGGAGACCGGGGUCCAAGGUGGGAACAGAGCAUCAUUUGAUGAGCCCUGUUGAUGGCGUGGCUUCCGUACUCUGCUUAGGAAACCUCAGAAAUUCUGGGUUUUACUGGAGGAUGCUGCUCAAGAUGGUCCUUUGGCCUGAUCUUUUGACCAGAAAGGGA